rnacentral:misc_RNA from 1 species
GAAAGCGUCAACGCGCCUGAAAGUGAAGCGGUCACGACAACUCCAAAUUGGAGUGGCUCGAUAUUCAGUUAGUCGGUCGAUGGCCGACGCGCGCACUGUUAACUGUUGUUUGUAAUUGAGAGUUUUAAAUUAAUUAUGCCGACUUGUGUCGUUCCCACUUGCAAAAAUGCUGCUGCGACUGCGCAGAAAUCACACGGGAUUACAUUUCAUCUGUAAGUAGUACAUUUCCAAUUAAUUUGAAUAAAUUAUUGAAUUUAAUGUGUGUGUCGCGAUUGUCAUAGAAAAUCAUGCUUUCAUUUUGUAAGUGUUGCGACAGAAUAACGCAAUAUUUUACCCAACUUUUCUUCAAUAAUUUUUUAUUGAAUACUUAAUAUGAUGAUGAUGAUAAUACUUAUUGUCGUAACUUAAUACCGCGAUCCUUUUUGUAAGUGUUGCCACAAAAUAAUGGCACAUUUUACCCAAUUUUUCAUCAAUUAGAUUUUUUUAUAACACAAUAUACUAUAUUGCACAUAAGGGAAAUUGUAGUGACACGAAGGAAACUUUCUUCAUGAUCUUGAUGGGAAAUUCUUUAUGAUUACUCACAUAGCACAUAGUUAAAGUCAUUUUGUGGGAGCUAAAUAACGUCUAUGCGAGCUGAAUAAUAAUUGAAUAUUUUCAAUUAGAACUUAAAUGAUCAGCAUGACUCCGUUAUAAAAUAUGUAAUUGGGUAAUUUUAGCUUUCCAGCUGACGAGGAAAGGAAGUCGCAAUGGACAAAAAUAAUUCAAAAAGCACGGCUAGAUGAGUUCUGGAAAUCAUCAAAGCGGAGCGUAAUUUGCUCAAUUCACUUUGAGGAGCAAUAUAUUUAUUGCACGAAAAGUGGUUUGAAAAGAUUAAAAAAAGAAGCUUAUCCAAAUAAGAAUUUGGCUCUAGCUCCAGGAAUGAUCGAAACACCCGCGAAAUUAUCGGAUCUUCCAAUACCCAGGAUUGAUACACAGCCAUCAUCUACGAUAUCAAAUUCCGAGACUGAUGACGUUUAUAAUUUGGAUUUAGAUCCAGUAAAA